AACUACAGAAUGAACACAGUGAACUACAGAAUGAACACAGUAAACUACAGAAUGAACACAGUGAACUGAAGAAUGAGAAGAAGAGAAUACAACAAGAGUUUUCUUUAGAACGUGAUCAACUUUUACAAAGUCUGAAGACAAUUAUACCUAAAGCUCUCACACAUUUAAGAACACACACGGUGAAUGUGAUUCUGGAUGCUGAUACGGCUCAUCCUCGUCUCAUCGUGUCUGAUGAUGGGAAACAAGUGAGAUCUGGAAACACACAAACAGAAGGAGUGGAUCGAGGAAAACACAGAUU